GUCCACGCCCUAAACGAUGCUGACUAGUUGUUCGGGAUUUACAUCCUGAGUAACGUAGCUAACGCGUGAAGUCAGCCGCCUGGGGAGUACGGUCGCAAGAUUAAAACUCAAAGGAAUUGACGGGGACCCCGCACAAGCGGUGGAUGAUGUGGAUUAAUUCGAUGCAACGCGAAAAACCUUACCUACCCUUGACAUGUCACUAACGAAGUAGAGAUACAUUAGGUGCCCGUAAGGGAAAGUGAACACAGGUGCUGCAUGGCUGUCGU
rnacentral:rRNA from 1 species